GGACUUUGAACCAGGCUAUUCUCGCCUAGUUUUCUUUUUUUCCCCCUGGUCUCGCCAGGAUCCCGGCCACCCCUGUCACAGCUCCUUCCCGGCCUCGGCUGUUCUUCUCUACCCGCGAGGGUCCGGGAUCCACGCGCAGUAAGCAGGCGGCUGCAAGGAGCUCAGUCCACCCGCCACUCAGGAAGGGGACCGGGACUACAACUCCCAGCACGCUCCGCGGCCCGCUGCCGCCCCACCCCUCCCCCUCCUCCUUACCUCGGUUGGCGGCCGGGAAGCUCUGAGCUUUCAUCUGCGGACCCGGCGGGAGGGAGCCGGUUCCCUGCGACCGUCCCGGCUCCGAGUGCUGUGCCCGGCGGUGGUGGCGAAGGCGGCAGCGGCGGCUCUCAGUCGAGUUCUGCCUCCGCGUCCGCGCCUGCCCGGAGCCCGCUGGGACAGACGGUUUGUCCCGGCGCGGCGAGAGGAUGGUCAUCCGCGUGUUCAUCGCCUCCUCCUCGGGCUUCGUGGCGGGCAGUGGGGAACCAUUAAAGAAGGAUUUCAGGACCAUGAUUGUCUUGACAAGAACGCACACUAGGAUUUUGAUCAAAAUAGAUAAAGAAGAAGCAGCAGGAUGUGGUGAGAUUUCUGGAAGCCAACAAGAUAGAGUUUGAGGAAGUCGACAUCACAAUGUCAGAAGAACAGAGGCAGUGGAUGUACAAAAACAUCCCUCCGGAAAAGAAGCCUGCUCAGGGCAACCCUCUGCCCCCACAGAUAUUUAAUGGUGACCGAUACUGCGGAGAUUAUGACAGUUUUUUUGAAUCCAAGGAGAGCAACACAGUCUUUUCGUUCUUAGGCCUGAAAUCACAGUUGGCAUCAAAGGCAGAACCUUAGCAAAGCCAAGUGGAAGAGGAUGGAGAUGCAUUUUGGAGCAUCCCCUGGCACUCGGCACACACCUGCUCACCGAAUGCAUCACUGUGACGAAAGCCACACGCAUAAUCAGUAACUUUGCUUGCCAUGGAAAAGGUGUUUGGGACGACAUGGGUAUAAGGGGAUUGCAUGAUUGCUUCAAACCAAAUCAGGACUGUGGUGGGUUUUUUCUUCUUUUCAGAAUUGCCUGCAGUUGCCUCCCUCAGCCUGGAGGUACUGUAACCUGUGACAGGUGUGCUUCCUGAAUGGCUGAGCAAUAAGUAGGUAGCACCAUCAGAGAGAAAAGAUUGGAUCCGCCCUGGGUUCUCGCUGAUGCCAGUACCACUCAGACCUGCUUCUCCUCAAGCUGCCUAGGUGGUAUCCUUGAAAUGAGUCUGCAGCCUAUUAGAAUAUUUUGAUCAGGAAGAAAAAAAAACAAUUUGGUUGAUCAAGGGGCUGGUGAUCUUUGCCUCAGAACCACAAAUAUCACUGUUCAGGGCUUUGUAAGAACCAUAGAAAAAUUUUGAUCCUCCUUUGGGAAAUAGAAAUUCUCACCCCUGUCAAUCCUCCAAGCUCCUACAGAUGUUUCCAGAAAUCACUGUUGCCACCAUGUGUGAUCAGAACCAAGUCACAGGGAUGAAAAGAAUUGCUAUUUUGAAAAAAAUAUAUGCUUCUUUAUCUCUUACAAGGGGAAGAUUUCACCUAAUGUGUAAGACUGCUUAAAACAUAUAUUUAAAAAGGUGCACUAAUUAGAGAUUAAACUUAGAGGGAAAUUAUCUGACUCGUACCUGCAGGCAUUUCAGCCCUAGCAACUUAAUUUAUGCUUCAGUGCAAAUAUAUUUUUCAAUGCAGCUCCCAUAACUAAUAGCUGCUGACUCUAUUUUAUGAAGGGAUUCUAUUUUUUGAGAAAGGAAAGUCUUGGUUAGAUAUAUUUUGUGAACCCAUGAUGAGGCAUGUUAAAAGAUACUAAUAUUGCUGUACACUAACUUCUUUUUCCUGUGUUACUUUCGAUUGGUCCUCUGACUUUGCCAGCUCAUGUUUCUGGCCAGUGCACAGCCCCAGAUUUUCAGAGUAAAGUAGAUACGUGUUCUCAUGCCACUUAUGAGCACCAGUGAUCUUUCAGAGCAGAACACACAGGAGAAACCGGCUGUGAGAGACUCACUCUGACCUCUGACAUCUCUCCUCCCUCUGUAGUGGGUGCUGAUCAACACUGAAUGAGUCUGCUUCAUUAGAGCAGAAGCUGCUGCUUUUCUGCAGCCUUGUCCCCUCUCACCUUUUUUUUUUUUUAAGAGUUUUUAGUUGCCAAACCUGGGGAUAGUCUUGAAUAGGACUCAGAGAGGACUGCCUAAGACAUUCUGCUAUUCUCAGCAUCCUGAUGCAGGACCUGGCUUUUGGAUUCAGAGCAGGAAGUUUAUAAGGAAUGGAGAGAAGAGAAGAAUUAAGGCCCUGUCACCUGUGUUCUCUCUCCCUCCAAACUGCGAAGUGUGGAAUAUUUGCAAGAACUUGUUGAACAUGAAAGCCAAAAUCCCAGUGGGAGGUUUGUGCAAGCCCAGGACUACAACCAGAAGAAAAGCACGCCAUAGAUUCCCACUUGACUGAAACCAUACACAAUCCAUGAUUUUCUGUCCAAGGAAUGCUGCUGUGAAAUCAUGGGUAUUACUACUCAUGGGCAUUCAAUAAGAUCCAGGUCCAGUUCUACUUGAAAAAUCCCAGGGAUCAUCCAGGAAAAAAAAAUCUUUUUUUGAACUGGAUAUUGUGUUAAAAUCUGAUAAGACUUAGAAUUUCUUUUUAAGAUACAGCAAUUAAAAAAAUUAAUGUUAAUAUCAAUUUAACUUAGAUUGUGUCUAUUCUUGCCAGUCAGCACCAAGAACCAGCUUUGUAAGAUUUGUCUUUGGGAGUUAAAUCCUGGGGUGGGAGGAUCAAUAUAAGACUUGCUAGACCAAGAAAGCUACUCAGACUUGUUUGCCUUUUGCAUUACCCUGGUUAGGGUGGGCCCAAGGAUGGUUCUAAACAGCCUAGAUGGUUAGGAGUGCUAAACAUUACCACAGUUACACAUCAUCUAUUUUCCAGGCCCUCCCCCCCUUUUUUUGGAUCAGCAAAGAAAUAGACCAGCUUUGACUGGUAUCAUGCACGUUGUGAAUGAGCUAGAAGCACAUGGUGUGGCAUUUUCCACGGUACCCAAGCUCUGCAGAGUCCUGAGGUCUUGCCCUUUGGGACCACACUUUGUUCAGAGACUGUCGUAUCCUUCCUUGUUGUGUUUUACCAGCUGAAUUCCAAACAUGCAGUGAUUUUCCUCAUCCCUUCUUUAGCUGCCUUUAGAUUUGGAAAAUCCCAAGUCUUCCACAAACCUAGGAAAGCAGUGGAUGGGGAUGGCAGACCUAGAUGUACUAUCAAGAGCAUUUCAGGACAGAAUGUUUAUUUCCUGUAGUAGGCUUGUUGAGGCGUCAAGGAAAUGUGCUGCUGCUAAAAAUCACAUUUUAGGCCAUUUUAAAAUUAGCGAAAAUAGCCAUCCUGCUAGGUAUAUGCAGACCAGAAGCAAAUUUAGUUGGAGAAAUAAUGGUUUUUUUUCCAAAUUCUGGUAUUCUAUUAAAAUCAAAGAGAAAAGGAAGGUUUUUGUUUUUUUUUUUUUUCUUUUCCCUCUGUCUCUCAGGCUCUACUAUGUUUUAGAUUUGUUUCUGUUUACAGAUUUAUUCAACACAUCCAUGUAGAUGUUUUUAUAUUACAUGAAUUCCUAUUGAACUGAACUUGUUUUUGUCCUCUGUUGAUGAAAGGUACCAAAACCUCUUUCUGUCUUGUUUGCUUUUGCUUUUUAAUUUGAUUUUGCUAUAUAUAGGGUUUGGCUUUUUUCAGAAAUGCAUUUUAUUUAACAUCUUUUCUGAAGUGUCAGGGCCCCCUUUGAUCUGCACAUUUAUUGUUUUUCGAUUUCAAUUUGUAUGUAUUUGUCUCUAAAGGCCUUGGUGAAAUCUCAGAUUUUAUAUUCAGCAUUAAAGAGGAAUAAAUUCCAGAAAACACAGAUUCUGAAAA